rnacentral:rRNA from 1 species
AAUGAACGCUGGCGGCGUGCUUAAUACAUGCAAGUCGAGCGGUAAGGUUCUGCACUCAGUAUUUGACCAGAUAAGUCCGGCAAUUGCCGGAUACUGUCUGCAGCGAUAUCCUCUAGGCUAGAGGAUAUAGGUCGAAUGAUGAGUGUAGAAUACACGAGCGGCGGACGGCUGAGUAACGCGUAGGAACGUACCCCAAACUGAGGGAUAAGCACCAGAAAUGGUGUCUAAUACCGCAUGUGCUCCACGGAGUAAAGCUUUAUGCGGUUUGGGAACGGCCUGCGUAUGAUUAGCUUGUUGGUGAGGUAAUGGCUUACCAAGGCCACGAUCAUUAGCUGGUCUGAGAGGAUGAUCAGCCAGACUGGGACUGAGACA